AUUGAACGCUGGCGGCAGGCCUAACACAUGCAAGUCGAACGGCAGCGGAGGGUAGCUUGCUACCCCGCCGGCGAGUGGCGGACGGGUGAGUAAUGCCUGGGGAGCUGCCCAAUCGAGGGGGAUACCAGUUGGAAACGACUGCUAAUACCGCAUACGCCCUGAGGGGGAAAGGUGGGGAUCUUCGGACCUACCGCGAUUGGAUGCACCCAGGUGGGAUUAGCUAGUUGGUGAGGUAACGGCUCACCAAGGCGACGAUCUCUAGCUGGUCUGAGAGGAUGACCAGCCACCCUGGAAAUGAGACACGGUCCAGACUCCUACGGGAGGCAGCAGUGGGGAAUAUUGCACAAUGGGGGAAACCCUGAUGCAGCCAUGCCGCGUGUGUGAAGAAGGCCUUCGGGUUGUAAAGCACUUUCAGCGAGGAGGAAAGGGGUGAUGCUAAUACCAUCAUCCUGUGACGUUACUCGCAGAAGAAGCACCGGCUAACUCCGUGCCAGCCGCCGCCGUAA
rnacentral:rRNA from 1 species